rnacentral:rRNA from 2 species
GCUGACGAGUGGCGGACGGGUGAGUAAUGCUUGGGAACUUGCCUUUGCGAGGGGGAUAACAGUUGGAAACGACUGCUAAUACCGCAUAAUGUCUACGGACCAAACGGGGCUUAGGCUCCGGCGCAAAGAGAGGCCCAAGUGAGAUUAGCUAGUUGGUAAGGUAAAGGCUUACCAAGGCAACGAUCUCUAGCUGUUCUGAGAGGAAGAUCAGCCACACUGGAACUGAGACACGGUCCAGACUCCUACGGGAGGCAGCAGUGGGGAAUAUUGCACAAUGGGGGAAACCCUGAUGCAGCCAUGCCGCGUGUGUGAAGAAGGCCUUCGGGUUGUAAAGCACUUUCAGUUGUGAGGAAAAGUUAGUAGUUAAUACCUGCUAGCCGUGACGUUAACAACAGAAGAAGCACCGGCUAACUCCGUGCCAGCAGCCGCGGUAAUACGGAGGGUGCGAGCGUUAAUCGGAAUUACUGGGCGUAAAGCGCACGCAGGCGGUUUGUUAAGCUAGAUGUGAAAGCCCCGGGCUCAACCUGGGAUGGUCAUUUAGAACUGGCAGACUAGAGUCUUGGAGAGGGGAGUGGAAUUCCAGGUGUAGCGGUGAAAUGCGUAGAUAUCUGGAGGAACAUCAGUGGCGAAGGCGACUCCCUGGCCAAAGACUGACGCUCAUGUGCGAAAGUGUGGGUAGCGAACAGGAUUAGAUACCCUGGUAGUCCACACCGUAAACGCUGUCUACUAGCUGUUUGUGACUUUAAGUCGUGAGUAGCGAAGCUAACGCGAUAAGUAGACCGCCUGGGGAGUACGGCCGCAAGGUUAAAACUCAAAUGAAUUGACGGGGGCCCGCACAAGCGGUGGAGCAUGUGGUUUAUUCGAUGCACGCGAG